rnacentral:pre_miRNA from 1 species
UCGGCCGGCAUCCCGGGCUCGCGGGGCCCACCUGUGUGUCUGUGUCGGUGGGAUCCCCGCGUUGUUCACCCGGUGGCCUGUCCAGG